UAAAAUUUGAAUAAUGCCGUGGUGCUGUUAGCUUAAUAUUUAAUAAAACUGUGUGGUCUACUGACUAGUGAUAUCAAUCUGUCCAAAAUCAACAGGCACUUGCACUCGCGUCCUCCAACAUAAGCAAUGUAGCCGACUUGUAAAAUGCUGUUGUUGGCCCAAAACAUGAUGAGCCUGUAACCGGGUAAGAUAGCUUAGCUGCUGGCUACGUUUGUAACUGGCUAAGCUACGAUAGCUGCUGGCAACGUUUGUAACCGGACGGCGAACCAAGAACAACACUCCAUAGUCUCCUCGCUUUUGUCGACCGGAGGAUGCUGUUUCGCAAGACUCUCAAGGACGCAGUACUCAGCUUGCCUGAUAUUGGAGCAGCUUGUUGCCAGUGUUUGCAAAACACACACACACACACACACACAAGUACAAAGAUCCGGUCUUUUUCAUCCUUUUACUGAACACCAGUCGACGAGGACAACACAUAAAAACGAUGAACACGUUGACGUUGGAACUGCUGUCGGCCACAGCUCAUGCCCAGACGCUCACCUGCUAACUUGUUGAAAUCACUCGUCAGCUCAUCAGGCCCCGCCUUUUAAAGGCACGUCCAUGCAUCGUUCACAGGCCUUCUUCCUGUGGGUGAUCGGGAGCGCAGGAAGACAAAGAAAAGCCUUCCAGACGCAGUGCAAGGAAUCAACAAAGAAAAGAAACAGCAAAUCCUCAAGCAAAUACCACCCAAGUCAUCGUACCACCCAGCUCGAAAGGGGAAACAUUUCCUCGCAGGUCCCCCCGCUCAAGAAGAAGCGUUCCAGCACGUCUGCGUUGACGUUGUUCUUAAUCUCAGGCGGACGACAGAUGCCGAGGAAUUUCUCUGCCCGGUGGCUAAACGGGACAGCCGAGAUGCUUUCUUCUGUCCCUGUCAGUUCUCACAUAGUCCUGGCUUUUUGUAGAAAUUCGACCCUUAACGCUGAAUCCCAAAACUUGGCUUCAGAAAUGUCUCCAAACACCUCCCGGAAACGCUCUGUCCUGGUGACAUGUUCCCAAUUUGUGUGCAGUGAGCUCCCCAGUCGAAUUUUUCUGUCGACCUGACAACCGUUUUUUCCCGCCACCAUUCGCCCAAAGGUGCGAGGAGAGGAUUAGCUAGCGUUGGCUAACAGAGGCUAACAUCAGAGUGACGCCCGACAAGCAGACGAGGCUCGUUGGUCGAUGCUGGGAAAACAAAGUGGUAAACUUUUUAAGAAAGUUCAAAGAGAAUUGCCGAUCGCUAUUGGCAGUGUUGGAAGUUAACGGCUAGCUUCGCAGUGUAAGGUGUACUGUACUUCCGGAAGUACCAAUUGAAGUUAACUCAAGUGCGCCGUAACCUACAGGUUUUUCCAAGUUCAUUUUUUGCUUUCUUUUACCGGCAGUUUUUUUUUUUUUUUUUUUACGAAUGGGGAAAAUUCUAUUCAUCAAGGGAAGAAUUACAUUUGCGGCACUACCGUAGCAUCCAGCGUAAAAACUGUGCCAAACAAAUACGAUCGUUCAUCCGAGAUGACACGCUGUGGCGACCCCUAACGAGACAAGCUGAAAGAAAAAGUAUUAGCCCAUAUGCACUUGAGAAAAAAAAUGAGAAUUCUGUAUUUAUGGAUCACUUGGUCAAGAACUUUAUGGAAUGGCUAAUAGAAAAUUGGUUAUUGGUAUUUUUAUGGACUGUCGCUUACAGUGACUAGCUCGCACAUUAUAAGUUUAAAAGUAAGACUUGGCACAUUGUACAUACCCAGUACACUGUACCCAGCUGGAGUGUGGUCCAGAUCCAGAUGGUCAGCUCUGCCCACCUGCACGCUGUCUUGUAUUUGCACGGGUCAAACUUGGCAUUGGCAGCGUUUGAGCAGUUUCGCAGCUACGCGCUCGCGCCACGCUCGGUGAGAUCCUGGCUCCACACGUCGGUGUGAAGGUUCGCAGCUUUUCUCUGCGGCACGACAUCUUUAAAAUGACGCGCGGGUCCAAAAAGAUGGCGGCCAGCUGAGCCGGGAGUUCUGUGCGUUGUCCCGAUUUGAGAAAUGUGCAAAAGUUGAACCGUCGUGUUUUCGGCGGCAAGUUCUCUCAAAGUCUGUAUAGCCAUCUAUAAAAAUCAUGCUGAAAUUUAUUGCCA